rnacentral:lncRNA from 1 species
UAAGGCAGCCGUACUUUCGAGGUAGUUGGGUGGCGUAGGGGAGAGUUUGGUCAUUCCAUCAUCCAAAUAUUCAUGUGGGAUUACCUCCGCUCAAGAGGUUCAAGAUGACUGAGUUUUCGCUGUGCUAAUCUGCGGAUUUUCAAAGAGGGUCUCACAGUCCUUAUACAUCGCAUCAUCUCAUAGAAUCCACGUGAAGGGUGAUGGUAAUUGUCGUCCUAUGGUGACGCGGCGGUUCGGGGUAUCGGAUUGAGGAGAGCACCAACGGUGGUACGACGAGAAUACCGCGAGUGUGACUACCGCCGCACAGAUCGUUGUGUGCAACCGUUAUUAUAAGUGAAACUGUUAUUGAGGUUAUAUACGAGCCAGUACAAGGCCACGAUCCGAUGAUACGCCGUAGCGCCAAAGAUGCCAUUAAGAACAAGCUCCUGCGAUAGCCCUCAACAAUAAAGGGCGUAAGGCCUCAGGCCAGGGGAGAAGGCUGGGUCUUCGACACUCAACACCACUGAGCUCUACUGCUAGCCUGGAGUUGCAACAGGAGCUGAAAGCAAUCAUUAAACAAUGAACGAAUAGUUCGUGGCGGCGCUGUUGUCGUCAUUCGUUUUGGCCAAAAUUGUCAUCUACUACGAGAACGUUGGGCCAUCACCGAAGGUGAGACAGCGGGCGGAGACAACGCCCCCUGUCGGUUACCAAAUCUCUAGAAGUGAACGAAAAAAGAAGCUGCAAUGGCCGUGCGAAGAUUUUCCACUACAUUAAGUCCUUGUAGAUGUUUUCAUUCCAAAACUCUGUGUUCUUCUACUCUGCAUUGAUGCGUCAGCGGGUUCAGCCGGUCUCGUCAGCCAGCCAGACCGACCGACCGACCGACCGACCGAAUACAAGACAUGACGCUGUUACCCCAAAUACUAGUAGUAACGCUCAAAAUGAGCUCGGCGAAUUCUGGCUAAGAAAUAAGAAGAACUUGGCGGCGGCAUCGUUGACAUCGGCGGGCUUUUUGCGGUCAUGCAUUUACACAUAGUGUACGUUUCAUCAAGUCGUUUAAAUCCCUAAAGCAAACGGAAUAGCUGUUCAAGAUGGUCAGUUAAGCCGCUAUAGGAGUUACACUGAGAUAGAACUUCUAGGAGAGUGUCGCUAUAGGAGGAUGAUGCGGUCGCAUGUAUAAGGUACAAUGGCCUGAUGCAGCGUCCGAAUAGAAGAACAGGAAAAUUGAAGAGCAUCGCAAAAGAGAGAGUCGGUCGGUCUGGAAAAGACACAGCCUUAUGUUCUGCAUAAGUGGAGACAAGAUGGAAAGAAUUCGGUAGACACGCUGUUACGCAAAAACAGAGCAUUCAAUGGAAUUUCGUAGGACACUCCAAGGUUUGACACCUCUUACCAGUCUAAUAUGUAACCAGUUGAGCGGAAAAGUUAGAACUAGUGGCUGGCGCGAGCAAUCGUUAUAGAUUAACCAGAGGUUGGUGUGCAUUGGUGGAUAGGAUCGUAACAUAAGGCUAAUUGUAAGUAUGGGUAAAAAUAGAAAUUAGUAAUUUGUGCCUAUAAAGCUACUUGCGUUUAAUCGUAAUGCAAAAAACUCAUACAUUAUGGAUUAUUGAUCUACUGCACUCCCUGUUUGGGCACUAUGGGACACUUACGAUGAUAAAAAGCGCACGAAAAUGCCCAUCAACGCCAUACAGGCGCCAAGGCCACGUUUAAGUGAAAAGUAUUUUUCGAUCCACAUAUUUUUUCGUAAAAAGUGAUCGCUGUGUCAUGAUGCUACGUCUGUAUGUUGUAUAGCCGGGCGUAUAUUUUAUUGAGCUUUUAGCCGAUCAUAGAAAAAAUUCAUGGCAAGACAAGAAAGUCGAACAAACUUAUCACAGUGCAUGCCUUUGGCGGAAUUUCUGACGGACUGACGGCUACGAGGUCGAAGGAUCGAGGUAAAAAAGAUGAGAGUAUGAGAGAAUCACGAAGGUAAGUACGUAAAUAAACUAUAGUGCAAAGAUAUCGGGUGUAAUUAACAAAUUAGAUGGCAACCUGGCUGGCUAAUUGU